rnacentral:rRNA from 1 species
GAUGAACGCUGGCGGCGUGCCUAAUACAUGCAAGUCGAACGAGGUGCUUUUGUAGCAAUACGAGAGUAUCCUAGUGGCGAACGGGUGAGUAACGCGUUGGUGACCUACCCCAAAGUGUGGGAUAACAGUCCGAAAGGAUUGCUAAUACCGCAUGUGGUCUUCGGAUUUAGAAACUGAUGACUAAAGGAGCAAUUCGCUUUGGGAGGGACCUGCGUCCCAUCAGCUAGUUGGUGAGGUAAUGGCUCACCAAGGCUACGACGGGUAGGGGACCUGAGAGGGUGACCCCCCACAAUGGAACUGAAACACGGUCCAUACACCUACGGGUGGCAGCAGUAGGGAAUAUUGCACAAUGGGCGAAAGCCUGAUGCAGCAACGCCGCGUGUGCGAUGAAGGCCUUCGGGUCGUAAAGCACUUUCUGGGAGAUGAGCAAGGACAGUAUCUCAGGAAUAAGUCUCGGUCUAAUACGUGCCAGCAGCC